rnacentral:sRNA from 1 species
UUCUCGGGCUGUUGGUGUUCGGCCAGGGCUCUUUGGCCACAGUAGCCUGGGCCCUAAAGGCCAUCUAGUUGCUGAGUCUGUUUGGGGUUUUUACUUUGUGAGAAGAAGGCCUCGUCAUUCCAACAGUCGAUGACUCGCUUUGAUCAACCCCUGCCCAGGACUAGGCCUGAGCCCUGUCGUCGUACCGGCGAGGAUGUGCGUCUCCCCUGCCUGCAGGCUGUGCCCUGAGACCCAGUUGUGGGGCUGCCCAGCACCUGCCAUCCUGCUGGGAGUCAGGUUUUCUUAGUGCUUGAGAAGACUCAGGAGGGCCUGUCCCAUGCCCUUGUUGGCCUUAAGAGCAAGUGAUUCCAGAAGAGGAGUGGGCGCCACUCUCAUCCAGAGGCCCGUCCCGAGAGAAUAGCAUUCCUUUCGAACACCACGGCAAGUAGCUGCUCGUCUCCCAUCGGAAGGCAGCACUGGAUUCCUGGUCGGGUGGCUUCCAGUGGUCUUCAGUCUGUCGUGCACCGAUGAGAACUCUCCUUAUUGCUCUGAAGGGCAGACAAUGCAUGGCUGAUCUACUCUGUUACCAAUGGCUUUACUAGUGACGCGUCCCCCGGUCUAGGAUCGAAAUGUUAACACCGGGAGCUCUCCAGGCCACUCACCCAGCGACGCUCAUGGGGGAAACAUACUAAACGGACAGACUCCAAGAGCUGCCACCGCUGGGGCUGCACUGCGGCCCCCCACGUGAACUCGGUUGUAAUGGGGCUGGGAAGAAAAGCAGAGAGAGAAUUGCAGAGAAUCAGACUCCCUUUCCAGGGCCUCAGCUCCCUCCAGUGGUGGCCGCCCUGUACUCCCUGACGAUUCCACUGUAACUACCAGUCUUCUACUUGGUUAAGACAGUUUUGUAUCAUUUUGCUAAAAAUUAUUGGCUUAAAUCUGUGUAAAGAAAA